UUUAAACAACCACGAUAUUGACAAAUUAACUUGAAAUUUUAUGUACCUCUUGUGUCGCUAAAGUACAGAAUAGAAUUCAUUAAAAAUCCUUCUCUUUUGCAUUUUUCUAAAUUGAAAAACUUUAACAUUUCUAUUUCAAAGUGCUGCAACUUUCCAACUUAUCGAUAUUUUUUGUUAUCGAUUUUAGAUUCUGCUGUAAGCAAAUUCUUGGUUACUUCUUGGAUUCUUAUUUCAAAUUAACAAAGAUGGCCUGAAUCGCGGACCACGUGAGGCUACGAUUCUUUUUUAUAAGCGCGUUACUUGCAAAAGCAUGUGGCGCCCCGGCAGUUUCUUUCAGUGAACAAAAGCUAAAUGUUAUCGAACUAUAGUCCCAUUCGGAGGGGGCAGAGAUUCGAUUGUUAAUCUGUUAUACGAACGAAUUAAUCUUCGACCUCGGAUAUACUAACUCAUAAUUGAACCACGAUGACAGGACUAUUAUCAAGCGUAUUUCCACUGCCAUACGAACGCGUAUUCUUAUGCAUUACAGAAAUGGUGAAAAAAAACGGCGAAAUGGUGACUGUAUACGUUUUCCCGCGUAAUCAGUCGCAAACGUGACUCAAAGAUCACAGAAUCCUUAAACACGAUGGUCGAGAGACAAUCUCGAGUGAACCUCGGCUAUCCGAACCGUCUCGUCCAUCGACGUCCUCGGAUAAACAAAGAUCCGCUGUACUUCGAAGUAAUCAUUACAAUUGGAAAAGUUCUAAUCGUUUCGACUGUGAAAAAGGGGUUAACAACGAAGAACUGCUAAUCGACGCAGCUGCGAAAGAGACCGUAGCGCGAGCAAUUAAUGCGACAAUAAAUAAGGCAAACGUUUGAAAGAGAAAAAUGUGCGGUCAGAAAAGAAGGAGAGAAGUCGAGGCGAGUGAAAGCAACGGAUAAACAAAGUUCCGCUGUACAUACUUCGAAGUAAUCAUUACAAUUGGAGAAGUUCUAAUCGUUUCGACUGUGAAAAAGGGGUUAACAACGAAGAACUGCUAAUCGACGCAGCUGCGAAAGAGAUCGUAGCGCGAGCGAUUAAUGCAACAAUAAAUAAGGCGAACGUUUGAAAGAGAAAAAUGUGCUGUCAGAAAAGAAGGAAAGAAGUCGAGGCGAGUGAAAGCAACGGACAAACCGUGACAUCAUAGAGUCCGACUUUCUUGUCUGAAAUGAACGUGUGACAGGGCUCGUAUGACGAAAGCAAGAGAAAACACCGCGCCUUCUGGCACGUUCCCGAUAGGGCCGUCUAAGCACGUGGGAAACUCGCUGGAUUAUUUCACUCUAAUAACACGUCGGGCAAACACAGCCGGCCACGGUUUUUACAUAAUUUCGUAUGCACCGUUCCAGUUUUCGCUCGACGACGCUUCGUCGAUCUAAAUCGGCGAGCGUGUCGCACGCCGACAAAUGGAAACAAAGCUUCCGCACUCGCGGAUAACAGACAUUACGUCAAACGUUUCGUAAUCUUUUCUAAUUUCCAUGCCCCAACGUUUCAUUAAUCUCUCGCAUCGAAUGAUUCGCACGAUCAAUCACACAUGUACGUACAUACUUUCGAAACAACAGCUGAGCGCUGUUAAAGCUAUCUAUUAGAUGAUUCAUCCUGUCCGUCGGCUUUCUGCGACGCGCCACCCGGAAUUCUUAAUUCCUUCGGAACAUUCUUGAUGAGAUCCGGUGAAAUGGGGUAUCUCGGUUUUCUAUGAACGAACUUUAUAUUCGUUAUGCGUACGAAAGAAUAAAGAACUCUGAAUCGUU